rnacentral:rRNA from 1 species
UACAGGGGGGGCAAGCGUUGUUCGGAAUUACUGGGCGUAAAGGGUUCGUAGGUGGCUUGCUAAGUCACACGUGAAAUCCCUCAGCUUAACUGGGGAACUGCGUGUGAAACUGGCGAGCUUGAGGGUAGGAGAGGAAUGCGGAAUUCCAGGUGUAGCGGUGAAAUGCGUAGAUAUCUGGAGGAACACCGGUGGCGAAGGCGGCAUUCUGGACUAUUUCUGACACUGAUGAACGAAAGCCAGGGGAGCAAACGGGG